rnacentral:rRNA from 1 species
CAGUCGCCACGGUAAUACCGAGGGUGCAAGCGUUAAUCGGAAUUACUGGGCGUAAAGCGCGCGUAGGUGGUUUGUUAAGUUGGAUGUGAAAUCCCCGGGCUCAACCUGGGAACUGCAUCCAAAACUGGCAAGCUAGAGUAUGGUAGAGGGUGGUGGAAUUUCCUGUGUAGCGGUGAAAUGCGUAGAUAUAGGAAGGAACACCAGUGGCGAAGGCGACCACCUGGACUGAUACUGACACUGAGGUGCGAAAGCGUGGGGAGCAAACAGGAUUAAAUACCCCAGUAGUCCCUGUCUCUUAUAA